rnacentral:misc_RNA from 1 species
AACGCACAUUGCGCCCUAUGGUAUUCCGUAGGGCAUGCCUGUCCGAGCGUCAUUCGACCUCUUCAAGCCCCGCUUGGUGUUGGGUGUUUGUUUCGCUGCUUCGGCGCGGACUCGCCUUAAAAGCAUUGGCAGCCGUCACUCCAGCAACGAGCGCAGUACAUUCGCGCGCGAAUCUGUCGUGGCGGCUUCUACAAGUACACUUGUCUUAGUUGACCUCGGAUCAGGUAGGGAUACCCGCUGAACUUAA